rnacentral:rRNA from 1 species
GAACGGGUGAGUAACACGUGGGGUGACCUGCCCCGCACUUCGGGAUAAGCCUGGGAAACUGGGUCUAAUACCGGAUAGGACCGCACCGUGAGGGUGUGGUGGAAAGUUUUUCGGUGUGGGAUGGGCCCGCGGCCUAUCAGCUUGUUGGUGGGGUAAUGGCCUACCAAGGCGGCGACGGGUAGCCGGCCUGAGAGGGUGGACGGCCACAUUGGGACUGAGACACGGCCCAGACUCCUACGGGAGGCAGCAGUGGGGAAUAUUGCACAAUGGGCGGAAGCCUGAUGCAGCGACGCCGCGUGGGGGAUGACGGCCUUCGGGUUGUAAACUCCUUUCACCAUCGACGAAGGUUUUCUGACGGUAGAUGGAGAAGAAGCACCGGCUAACUACGUGCCAGCAGCCGCGGUAAUACGUAGGGUGCGAGCGUUGUCCGGAAUUACUGGGCGUAAAGAGCUCGUAGGUGGUUUGUCGCGUCGUCUGUGAAAUUCCGGGGCUUAACCUCGGGCGUGCAGGCGAUACGGGCAAUACUUGAGUGCUGUAGGGGAGACUGGAAUUCCUGGUGUAGCGGUGAAAUGCGCAGAUAUCAGGAGGAACACCGAUGGCGAAGGCAGGUCUCUGGGCAGUAACUGACGCUGAGGAGCGAAAGCAUGGGUAGCGAACAGGAUUAGAUACCCUGGUAGUCCAUGCCGUAAACGGUGGGCGCUAGGCGUAGGGGGCUUCCACGUCUUCUGUGCCGUAGCUAACGCAUNAAGCGCCCCG